rnacentral:lncRNA from 1 species
UCGUAUCUUCCUCCUAAAUGACAUAAUAAGCUCAAAAUAAGAAAAGUACUAUAAUCAUCCUCUUCCUCUUCUUCUCCUUCUUCUUCUUCUUCUUCUUCUCCUUCUUCUCCUUCUUCUUCUUCUUCCCCUCCUCCUUCUUCUUCUUCUUCUUCUUCUCCUCUUUCUUCUCCUCUUUCUUCUUCUCCUUAGCUUAAUUUCCCCAAGAAAUACAUACUUAGCUAAUUACCCUUCAAAAUGACAUAAUUAGCUAAUUUAGUUCAUUUAUGACAUCAUUAGCUUACU